UCUGAACAACUUUGCCUCUGGGACCAAUGUUGUCAAUAAAGCUGUUAAUUAAAUAUUCAAGAUUAUUUAAAAAAGUUACUUUGGCAUACUUGUGAUACGGUUUAAGAUGAAAAUCAAUAAAACCACUGAAGUACAAUUCUCUAGACUCUGAAGGUCAAUAAUUAUCAAAAACAUGUUGAACAAUUGCAUUUGGACAACUAUAAACCAGUAAUUUUAUAAUAUGUUCUUUUCAUAGUGUACACAAAGGCCUAUUAAUACAAACAGAAAGCCCACACAUUAUCAAAACUGUGUAAAACAAUGCAUAAUUUCAUUCUAAACAAGCAUGCAAAAUUUAAGAGAGAUUGGGCAAAAAAAAAAAAAAAACACUAUAACAGUUAUGUUUAAAAACAGUGUUGCUUGAGUAAAUGCAAUUUAUAACCUCUAGAUGGCAGUGGAAGACCACUAAUGGGCUCAUUCAGUUAAGUUGAACAGUACUGUUGAAAGGAUUCAUGAAUUCAUCCCAAAACAUUAAAAAUGUAACUGUUAUAACAUUUUAAAUCUCAUUGAGUCAAUGUUUUCCAUUUUGUUCUUACAGAUAUAUCAGUUUUUACUAUUUUGCCACAUUGUGAUUACAGUUUAACCUGAAAAUGACAUCUAAACUCUUAAAAAGAGAAGACUUGCAAUAAGUUUAUUGUCACCUAUCACUUAUUUCAAAUACCUAUAUCUGCAACAAAAUGUUUGUGCAUGUAUAUGUGUGUCUUUCUGUGUGUGUGUGUGUGUGUGUGUGCAUAUGCUUAUAGAGUAUACAUAUAUUAGUCUAAUCAUUUACUUUCAGUGUGUGUGUCUGUCUGUUAACCUGUUCUCCAUUUUGGAUGUGUUUAAAUGUCAUCCAUGCAUCCAGGUUGGCUCAGACCACCUCAGAGGCCUUAAUGUGCUUGAACCCCGGUAAAUGCUGCUUGCAGCUUUAAUUAUUAUUAGGGGUUCAAGCACGCAGUGCUGAAACCCUAUUGUAAUUGUUAGGAUUUUUAUUAUUAUUAUUAUUAUUAUUAUUAUUAUUAUUAUUAUUCUUCUGCCCUAGAACUGAACGUGCAGCCCAAACCGUAAGGCCUAGAGAGCUGAAAUUUGGACAGAUCGUAGAGCUCAAUUUGGGGAGAACUUAUCAAAGUCUCAGCCCAAUCGGCCUAACGGGGGCGCUACAGCGCAAAAAACAAAAAUUUUGGACAUUUUUGGCCGUAAAUCGUAUACCGUUAGCCGUAGUCUCAAAAACAUGGCAUUGUUGCAAUCCUUGGGUUAGCCCGAACAAAAGUGCACGGCGCCUUUUUGGGGUCUACGACGCACCGUUUUCUCGCAAAAUCGAGCUAUAUCCGAAACCUACUUUUGCGAACUAGUCCUAGGAUUUUCAACCAAUCAGAACCAAACCACUUCAUAAAUAUUCCCUGGACACUCAAUAUCAAUAAUUAUUAAAAAAAAGUUGAAAUUUCAAUUCUUACGCGAAACAGUACGCCAAAAAGCGUCUAUGCUAACGUUAGCCAAAUACUAUUUUGACUAUAACUCUUGAACGGAAUGAGAUAUCUUCAACAAACUCGGUACACAUAUGUAUGAGCUCAAUCUUUGGUCAAAUCAAAAAAAUUGCGCAUCUCUGCCACUUGGGGGCGCUAUAAGAUUGAAAAAACACAUAAAUUGCUAUAACUAGGCAACCGUUGGCUCGAUCAACUUGAAAAUCGGUAUGCGGUGUCUUGGUCUGAAGGGGCACAAGUACUUAUGAGGACAUUUGCAUAUCUCAAAAAACAUGGCCGUCAUUGGCCAAACAAAUUUAAGCACCUAUUUGAAAGGGUUAACGGAUGUUGAUCGGAACGAAACUCGCUGGGUACGUUCGACUCAUGAACCUUAAGGUCUGUAAGAAUUUUGAAAGAAAUCGGCCACUAGUUGGCGCUAACGAGUUUUAUGGCUCUGUAAUCACGUGGUGUUUCACAUAUCAACACAAUAUGCAUAUCAUUUGAUAGAUCUCCUCGUAAUGCACAACUUUGCCUCAAGAACCAUUGCUGUCAAUCAAAUCGUUCAAUUGUUAUUCACAAAUAUGUUAAAAACCUACUUUUGCGAACUAGUCCUAGGUUUUUUGCCCGAUCGGAACCAAACCACUGCAGUAAUAUUCUGUGGACUCUCUAGAUCAAUAAUUAUUAAAAAAAUGUUGAAUUUUGUCCUUUGGUUAGCUGUAACCGGGUAAUUUAGAAAAAGGGGUGUGGCCAAACACACCCCAAAGCCUAUAAAACCUAAAGGAAAACUCAAAACUGUAUGAAACUCAGUGAAAUCAUGUAUCAGGUGACUCUUAACAAGCAUGCAAAGUUUCAUGGAGAUCAGACCAUAGGUGGCGCUAUAACAGUAGAAAAGGUCUCAAAACACAAGAUUUAUAUGGUAAAUGGCCUCAAAUUGUUUGAAAAUGUUCAUAUAUUCACUCAAAAACACUAAAUCUUCAUAUCAUAUGAUAAAUCUCCUCAUUCUGAACAACUUUGCCUCUGGGACCAAUGUUGUCAAUAAAGCUGUUAAUUAAAUAUUCAAGAUUAUUUAAAAAAGUUACUUUGGCAUACUUGUGAUACGGUUUAAGAUGAAAAUCAAUAAAACCACUGAAGUACAAUUCUCUAGACUCUGAAGGUCAAUAAUUAUCAAAAACAUGUUGAACAAUUGCAUUUGGGCAACUAUAAACCAAUAAUUUUAUAAUAUGUUAUUUGCAUAGUGUACACAAAGGCCUAUUUAUACAAACAGAAAGCCCACAAAUUAUCAAAACUGUGUAAAAUAAUGCAUGAUUUCAUUCUAAACAAGCAUGCAAAAUUUAAGAGAGAUUGGGCAAAAAAAAAUUACAACACUAUAACAGUUAUGUUUUAAAACACAGUGUUCUUGGAGUAAAUGCAAUUUAUAACCACUAGAUGGCAGCGGAAGACCACUAAUGGGCUCAUUCAGUAAAGUUGAACAGUACUGUUGAAAGGAUUUAUGAAUUCAUGCCAAAACAUUAAAAAUGAACUGUUAUAACA